rnacentral:rRNA from 1 species
GCUUAAGCAUAUCAAUAAGCGGAGGAAAAAGAAACCAACCGGGAUUGCCUCAGUAACGGCGAGUGAAGCGGCAAGAGCUCAAAUUUGAAAGCUGGCUCCUUCGGGGUCCGCAUUGUAAUUUGCAGAGGAUGCUUCGGGUGCGGCCCCUGUCUAAGUGCCCUGGAACGGGCCGUCAGAGAGGGUGAGAAUCCCGUCUGGGAUGGGGUGUCCGCGCCCGUGUGAAGCUCCUUCGACGAGUCGAGUUGUUUGGGAAUGCAGCUCUAAAUGGGUGGUAAAUUUCAUCUAAAGCUAAAUACUGGCCGGAGACCGAUAGCGCACAAGUAGAGUGAUCGAAAGAUGAAAAGCACUUUGAAAAGAGAGUUAAAAAGCACGUGAAAUUGUUGAAAGGGAAGCGCUUGCGACCAGACUCGCCUCCAGGGUUCAGCCGGCAUUCGUGCCGGUGUACUUCCCUGGGGGCGGGCCAGCGUCGGUUUGGGCGGCCGGUCAAAGGCUCCCGGAAUGUAGUGCCCUCCGGGGCACCUUAUAGCCGGGAGUGCAAUGCGGCCAGCCUGGACCGAGGAACGCGCUUCGGCACGGACGCUGGCAUAAUGGUCGUAAACGACCCGUCUUGAAACACGGACCAAGGAGUCUAACAUCUACGCGAGUGUUCGGGUGUCAAACCCGUACGCGCAGUGAAAGCGAACGGAGGUGGGAGCCCCCUCGUGGGGCGCACCAUCGACCGAUCCUGAUGUCUUCGGAUGGAUUUGAGUAAGAGCGUAAAUGUGGGGACCCGAAAGAUGGUGAACUAUGCCUGAAUAGGGCGAAGCCAGAGGAAACUCUGGUGGAGGCUCGCAGCGGUUCUGACGUGCAAAUCGAUCGUCAAAUUUGGGUAUAGGGGCGAAAGACUAAUCGAACCAUCUAGUAGCUGGUUCCUGCCGAAGUCCCCCCUUCAGGA